AAUAUCAGUCAUGCAUAGCAUAUCAAUAAGCGGAGGAAAAGAAACUAACAAGGAUUCCCUUAGUAACGGCGAGUGAAGCGGGAAGAGCUCAAAUUUGAGAUCUUCAAGGUUUUACCUUGACGAAUUGUAGUUUAAAGAAGUGUUUUCUGUUGAAGUUUUGGUAAAAGUUCUUUGGAAUAGGACAUCAUAGAGGUGAGAAUCCCGUAUUUGACCAUUACUUUCAGCUUUGUGAUACACUUUCAAAGAGUCGGAUUGUUUGGGAAUGCAGUCCAAAAUGGGUGGUAAAUUUCAUCUAAAGCUAAAUAUUGGCGAGAGACCGAUAGCGAACAAGUACCGUGAGGGAAAGAUGAAAAGAACUUUGAAAAGAGAGUUAAACAGUACGUGAAAUUGUCAAAAGGGAAGCGUUUGACACCAGUGUUGUUUUCUCGAAAAUCAAUUAAAAAGAGUUGGAUUUUGUGUUGUAUUGACUUUAUCAGCUUUCUUCACUCUUUUCCAGCUUUUUUUAAUGCACUUUUCGUUUAACAAGUCAACAUCAGUUUCUUUUGUUGUAAAAAGGUCAUUGGAAGGUGGCUUUCUCUUCGGAGAAAGUGUUUAUAGCCUUUGACUCAUGCAAUCGGAGAGACUGAGGUCUGCAGCGUAGAUCCUUCGGGGUUAGAUACAUCUGUGCUAAGUUAUAGCUCUUCAUAGACAACUUGUUGACUAUGUUUAGUCUUGUAGCUUACUCGCUUAUGCUAUUUUACCUACGCUUAGGAUGUUGAACUCUAUCACACACAG
rnacentral:rRNA from 1 species